UAAAGAACCAACAGAGGAUAUUUCUGCACAGAAAAAUGAGGUGUCUGUAGAAGGAGAACUUAGUCCUGCUUCCAGCAGGGAUAGGGGGAAAUUGAAAAGAGUGAACUUGUGAUUGUUUGCUUCCAAGAUGAAGACCAAGGUACAGAAGCCCCAGAAGGACAGAGCUGUGAGGCCCUAGGCCCACAGGAUUGAGAACCUUAAUGCUUGAAAGAAGUCAGAAACUGAUACUGAAGAGCAGACCUGUCUUGGGAGGAACACAGCUCUAAGGAAAGACUGGUAAAUGCAGAAGGGAAGAUCAAUGUGAUGGCUGGAGCUCUAGUUGGACCAUGAAGUGAAUUUGAAGAUGGAAGCCAUAUGCUAAGGAUGGCAGAACAAAAAGAUGGAGGAAACCUGGAACCUUGAUGACAUUGUAGCUCCCACACCAGCCAGAUUCCAGCCUUCUUUUGUGUGAGAGAGAAAUAAGCUUCUAUCUUCUUGAAACCACCAUUAUUUCCUCAUUCAUCUGGGACAUCACAAGCUUAGGGAUCUUUGGAAGGCUUUGAACAAAGAGUAAAAAAAUUAGAGACUUUAUUUGUUUGCUUUCUGGUAGUUUAUUUUUUAUAAAGUUAAGUAAGCUGUAAAACAAAGGUGAUAUAAC